GCGGCAUGCCUUACACAUGCAAGUCGAACGGCAGCGGGGGAGAAGCUUGCUUUUCCUGCCGGCGAGUGGCGAACGGGCGAGUAACACGUGGGUGAUCUGCCCUGCACUUCGGGAUAAGCCUGGGAAACUGGGUCUAAUACCGGAUAGGACCACUGCCGGCAUGGGUGGUGGUGGAAAGCUUUUGCGGUGUGGGAUGGGCCCGCGGCCUAUCAGCUUGUUGGUGGGGUGAUGGCCUACCAAGGCGACGACGGGUAGCCGGCCUGAGAGGGUGACCGGCCACACUGGGACUGAGAUACGGCCCAGACUCCUACGGGAGGCAGCAGUGGGGAAUAUUGCACAAUGGGCGCAAGCCUGAUGCAGCGACGCCGCGUGAGGGAUGACGGCCUUCGGGUUGUAAACCUCUUUCAGCACCGACGAAGCGCAAGUGACGGUAGGUGCAGAAGAAGGACCGGCCAACUACGUGCCAGCAGCCGCCGCAGUAA
rnacentral:rRNA from 1 species